rnacentral:rRNA from 1 species
AGUGAACGCUGGCGGCGUGCCUAAUACAUGCAAGUCGAACGGAGUGGCGCACGGGUGAGUAAUAUAUAGCUAAUCUGCCCCUUGCUGGAGGACAACCGUUAGAAAUGACUGCUAAUACUCCAUAGCAAGGGAUGUGGCGAUAUCGUAUAAGCUAGUCGGUGGGGUGACGGCCUACCGAGGGUAUGACCCGUAACUGGUCUGAGAGGAUGAUCACUAACAUUGGAACUGAGACACCGUCCAAGCUCCUUCGAGAGGGAGCAGUAGGGAGUAGUACGCAAUGGGGGUAAACCUGACGCAGCAACGCGGCGUAGAGGAUUACACGUUGCGAAGCGGAAACUCCUUUUAUUAAGGGAGCGGUACCUAACGAAUAAGCACCGGCUAACUCCGUGCCAGCAGCCGCGGUAAUUC